rnacentral:misc_RNA from 1 species
UCCCACCUUUUCCUCCUUAUAAAAUCAUGUAUCCAAAUACCCAUUUCAAUGGCCCCAAAACUCGCACAGGCACCUAACACAUUCACCAUGGUAACAUGAUUAGGCACUAAACCCGCAUAUUGCAUCUGCUCAAAAGCAAUCAACGCAUCAUCAUAGUUCCCAGCACUCCUAUACCCCAUAAUCAAAAUAGUCCACGAGACAACAUCUUUGUCAGGCAUUUCAUCAAACAGUUGCCGACACAAUCCCAUAUGGCCACAUGAAG